AGAGUUUGAUCAUGGCUCAGGAUGAACGCUGGCGGCGUGCUUAACACAUGCAAGUCGAACGGGAAACCUUUUAUUGAAGCUUCGGCAGAUUUAGCUGGUUUCUAGUGGCGGACGGGUGAGUAACGCGUGGGUAACCUGCCUUGUACAGGGGGAUAACAGUCAGAAAUGACUGCUAAUACCGCAUAAGCGCACAGGACCGCAUGGUCCGGUGUGAAAAACUCCGGUGGUAUAAGAUGGACCCGCGUUGGAUUAGCUUGUUGGUGGGGUAACGGCCCACCAAGGCGACGAUCCAUAGCCGGCCUGAGAGGGUGAACGGCCACAUUGGGACUGAGACACGGCCCAGACUCCUACGGGAGGCAGCAGUGGGGAAUAUUGCACAAUGGGGGAAACCCUGAUGCAGCGACGCCGCGUGAAGGAAGAAGUAUCUCGGUAUGUAAACUUCUAUCAGCAGGGAAGAAAAUGACGGUACCUGACUAAGAAGCCCCGGCUAACUACGUGCCAGCCGCCGCGGUAAUAC
rnacentral:rRNA from 1 species